rnacentral:tRNA from 1 species
GCGUUCAUGGUCUAGCGGUUAGGAUCUUCGCCUUCCAAGCGACAGCGAAGGGCUCGGGUUCGACUCCCGAUGGACGCA